rnacentral:rRNA from 1 species
AGUGGCGAACGGGUGAGUAAUGCAUCGGAACGUAUCCUGUAAUGGGGGAUAACUAAUCGAAAGAUUAGCUAAUACCGCAUACGCUCGGGAGAGGAAAGUGGGGGAUCGCAAGACCUCACGUUAUAGGAGCGGCCGAUGUCUGAUUAGCUAGUUGGUGAGGUAAAGGCUCACCAAGGCGACGAUCAGUAGCUGGUCUUAGAGGAUGAUCAGCCACACUGGGACUGAGACACGGCCCAGACUCCUACGGGAGGCAGCAGUGGGGAAUUUUGGACAAUGGGGGCAACCCUGAUCCAGCCAUGCCGCGUGCGGGAAGAAGGCCUUCGGGUUGUAAACCGCUUUAGUCUAGGAAAAAGGGAUGCAGGGUUAAUACCCCUGUGUUUUGAUGGUACUGGAAGAAUAAGCACCGGCUAACUACGUGCCAGCAGCCGCGGUAAUACGUAGGGUGCGAGCGUUAAUCGGAAUUACUGGGCGUAAAGCGUGCGCAGGCGGUCCGUUAAGACAGUCGUGAAAGCCCCGGGCUUAACCUGGGAACUGCGAUUGUGACUGGCGGGCUAGAGUGUGUCAGAGGGGGGUGGAAUUCCACGUGUAGCAGUGAAAUGCGUAGAGAUGUGGAGGAACACCGAUGGCGAAGGCAGCCCCCUGGGAUAACACUGACGCUCAUGCACGAAAGCGUGGGGAGCAAACAGGAUUAGAUACCCUG